UACGAAGGGGGCUAGCGUUGCUCGGAAUCACUGGGCGUAAAGCGCACGUAGGCGGCUUUCUAAGUCAGGGGUGAAAUCCUGGAGCUCAACUCCAGAACUGCCUUUGAUACUGGAAGGCUUGAGUUCGGGAGAGGUGAGUGGAACUGCGAGUGUAGAGGUGAAAUUCGUAGAUAUUCGCAAGAACACCAGUGGCGAAGGCGGCUCACUGGCCCGAUACUGACGCUGAGGUGCGAAAGCGUGGGGAGCAAACAGG
rnacentral:rRNA from 1 species